GGAUUUGAGUCUUGAAUGUAGGAGCAGAGUUACCUGAAUAUAUGGAGUUGAUGGAGACAUUCCUUGAUGAGGAGCAGAAAUUCCCCAGGGACCUUGUAAAUCUGAAGCAGAUAAAGGGAAAUGAAGAAACCAAGUUUUACAACUUUGAUGAGUGGCAAAAUUUGUCAAUAAGAGCUAGAUAUUAAGUAAUUAGCUUUUAGGAAGCAAAGUGUAUUGGACUUGGUUAUGAUAUGAAGGAAUUCAUUUAAUAAUCAAACGAAACGUUUUGAUUAAAAAUCAAAACGAAAACAAAAACAACAAAAACAAAGAAGCGAAGCAUGAAUCUCCUAAUCAGCAGAAAAGGGAGGACAGCCGGAGACAAUCGUAUUCCUGAUCGAUACUGAUGUAAACUUGUGCUGGAACAAUGGGACCAUCUCGUUGCAGGAAAACAAGCUCAGGGCUCCCACUGAUUCUACAUUAUGG
rnacentral:lncRNA from 1 species